ACCGAGGUUCCUGCCACGCACCCGUUGGAGUAGUGGAUACCCCGCACAGUUCACACAUUUAAAUUCAGGCUAGAUGUUGCUUCCGGUGUCUGCCUGGUGUUAAGUGGACUGUUUGCUGCCCCCAUCCCCCGCCCCGUCGAAGCUGCCGAGUUCCUUCCAACUAUCAUUUGAACAGGAAAAUAUUAUGAAGGGCUUAAAAUAACUGUGAAAGGUGUGAAGCGCUACUGCCAGGACUGCGGGAAAGUGUGUGUGUGUGUGUGUGUGUGUGUGUGUGUGUGUGUGUGUGUUUUAAAUCCGAGCAGUUUAGGCAUGGAGUUCAGAUUGCUUAAAAAUUCCCGUUUUGACGGAAAUCUGUGUGCAGCCCUCCUCCGAUGACUUAACCGACUUCACGUACCUCGUCUGUUCUGGAGGAGAGGGUGGGGAGGUGUGGGAGUGGUUCCUCAGUGCUGCUCCAAAGUUUCACACGAGACAAAUGCCCAUCGAGAACUCUUGACUUGUUAAGGUCUGGGAACUAAAAUGCCAGCCCCCGGCCGCGGUAGUGUUUGGUUCCCUGGCUCCCUCCCCUCCCUUCCCCCCACUUCCUAGACUCCGAGCCGAGUUCUUUACUGAGAAUGCUGAGGGGGCUGGGCGGGGGAGGGAGAAGAGAGGAGGAACCACGUGUGUGUAUGUAAAAACUUGGGCUCUUUUGGAAAGCUUUGAAUCUAGGUAAAAAUAAUUCUGGCCAACACGGUGGUCCUGAAUGACUGAGUGCUUUGAAGUAGAAAACAUUGUAACGUAUUUAAGCCCAGGUUGGCCCGUUUGUUUCAUUUAAAUGUCAGGGAUGAUUUCAUUUCCAGGAGGAAAGAUCUUAAAGGUCUUGUAAUUUAACUUUCGUUGGGCUCUUAAGUUAUUUAAAAAUGAGAAAGAUUAAGGCUCAUGAUGGAUAUUCCUGUGUAACUGGGAAGUACUCAGUUUUCAGCAGACUCAAAAAUUGUGAAGGAAUGAACAAAGGUAUCAUGUGAAUUAAUUGUACCUUUAAACACAGUGCAUGUAAGUACUUGUGAAAACAGCACUCUACUGGGUGGUGCAAGGUAAGCCCCCAAGUGAUUUUACAAACCAGGUAGUAGAUGGGUAGUGAUGGAUUACAGCCCAAAAUAAGAUCUUUAUAGACUUCUUUUGAGAUUUACGGUGUAUUUUCAUGUGCAUCUCAUUUAACCCUUCCAAAUACAAAUAAGGCCUGUGCGUGAUCUCCCAGUGUUGCUAACAAAUGAAUGAAGAUCUGAAAUGACUAAGCAGCUCCUGGAUGGAAGAACUAAGGAUUUCCCUGCUGAUGCAGACUGACAUGGCUGUGGUAGAUAGGCCAAAUUCAGUUCUUCAGAAACUUUAAGAACUUUUCAGGAUGCAUGUCAUAUGUCACCUGCAAAGAGCCACCAGCAACUCCUGACUAGCUAAAGAUCGUAGAGGACUGCUCUUUCUCUGAUUCUUCGGGAGUCUCAGGAGAGCUGUGAUUGAUUGGCCAGCCCUGGUUCGUGUGCCCACCCUAAAGCCCUGUGUUGGAGGUGUACCAGUUGUCAUUUGGGCUAAAUUUGCUUUUUCCCUGCAUGCUGUCAUUUCCUUGCCUGCCUCCAUUCCCUCCCCUUCCCAGAUAUUUUUGAGUGGACAAUGAAACAGAGAGAAAGGUCUUCCUUUUGCCAUUGGUUCACCUCCCAAUGGCCGGUGCACCGCGCUGAUCUGAUGUCAGGAGCCAGGAGCCAGGUGCUUCUCCUGUUCUCCCAUGCGGGUGCAGGGCCCAAGCACUUGGGCCAUCCUCCACUGCACUCCCUGGCCACAGCAGAGAGCUGGACUGGAAGAGGAGCAACCGGGACAGAAUCCGGCUCCCCAACCGGGACUAGAACCUGGGUGCCAGCGCCGCAGGCAGAGGAUUAGCCUAUUGAGCCACGGUGGCGGCCUAAAUGCAGAUUUUUUUUAAAAAGUCUAGAUAUAGGCUGGUUUUAGUCCAUGUAUAGAGACAUUCUAUGAUUUUGUAUUUUCCAGAAUUUUUAUAUUGGAACUUUAAUUUCUAAAGUUUCUCCAAGACUGUUAAAAGUGCUUAAAAUUGAUGUGUAGCUGUUUUUAAAGCUGUCUACUUUUCUACUCAACUGAAUUAUCACAUAUUUUUUCUCUUUCU